CAUUGCUUCGGCAAUAAAUAUACUAAAAUUGGAACGAUUCAGAGAAGAUUAGUAUGGCCCCUGCGCAAGGAUGAUACGCAAAUUUAUGAAGCGUUCCAUAUUUUU
rnacentral:snRNA from 1 species